AGUGAAGGCUGUGGGAAUUGUAAUGCUUGUCAGUACAAUGGUCAUCUUUGAGUGUUGGUUUAGAACAAGACGCUCCACCAAACCAGUGAAGAAAAUGUCAGCAGGGUGUUUGAGUUGUCAUCAUGAGCCACAAGGAGAGGAUGACAACAUGUUCACUAUCAGUGGAAUUACAUGAUAUCCAUUAUUGUCUAUUCUGUAUUAUAUGCUUAUUCCUUAUUUACAUGUGUUAGUGUGCCAUUUACAAGAAGGCAGAUCACUGCUUCCUCCAGGCAAAUAUUUAAUGUUGUUAGUUUGUAUAAGUGUGGAAAGAUGAACAGGAUGACCCAAGACUUCAUCAGCAUGUUGCGGUA